UCAGGAUGAACGCUAGCUACAGGCUAACACAUGCAAGUCGAGGGCAGCAUGGUCUUAGCUUGCUAAGACUGAUGGCGACCGGCGCACGGGUGAGUAACGCGUAUCCAACCUGGCCCUUAGUAGGGAACAGCCCGGCGAAAGUCGGAUUAAUGCCCUAUGUUUUCCAAUGAUGGCAUCUGACUUGGAACAAAGAUUCAUCGCUAAGGGAUGGGGAGUGCGUCUGAUUAGCUUGUCGGCGGGGUAACGGCCCACCGAGGCGACGAUCAGUAGGGGUUCUGAGAGGAAGGUCCCCCACAUUGGUACUGAGACACGGACCAAACUCCUACGGGAGGCAGCAGUGAGGAAUAUUGGUCAAUGGGCGCGAGCCUGAACCAGCCAAGUAGCGUGCCAGGAAGACUGCCCUAUGGGUUGUAAACUGCUUUUAUGCGGGAAUAAAGUCAGGUACGCGUACCUGUUUGUAUGUACCGCAUGAAUAAGGACCGGCUAAUUCCGUGCCAGCCGCUGC
rnacentral:rRNA from 1 species